UUAAAUUAGUUUAAUAAAAAUUUCAAUUUGUGAUAUUGAAGAUUCAUAAGAAUUUAAUAA
rnacentral:tRNA from 1 species